rnacentral:rRNA from 1 species
CUGGCGGCGUGCCUAACACAUGCAAGUCGAACGAUCUUUGAUUUAUAGCAAUAUUUACUAAAGAGGAGUGGCGAACGGGUGAGUAACACGUAGAUAAUCUGCCUUUCAGACGGGGACAACUCAGGGAAACUUGUGCUAAUACCCGAUGAGACCACAAGAAGGGAUUUUUUGUGGCCAAAGGCGGGCAGCAAUGCUCGUGCUGAAAGAUGAGUCUGCGUCCUAUCAGCUAGUUGGUGGGGUAAAUGCCUACCAAGGCUAAGACGGGUAGCCGGCCUGAGAGGGUGAACGGCCACACUGGGACUGAGACACGGCCCAGACUCCUACGGGAGGCAGCAGUGAGGAAUUUUCCGCAAUGGGCGCAAGCCUGACGGAGCGACGCCGCGUGAGGGAUGACAGCUUUCGGGUUGUAAACCUCUUUUAUUAAGGAAAAAGAUCUAUAUGCUAAUAUCAUGUAGAUUUGAUGGUACUUAUUGAAUAAGCCCCGGCUAACUACGUGCCAGCCGCUGC